rnacentral:rRNA from 1 species
AGUGGCGCAAGGGUGAGUAACACGUAGCUAACGUACCCCCUCGCUGGGGAUAACUCCGCGAAAGCGGGGCUAAUACCGAAUGAUCUGAAGGAGUCUGCGGACACUUUCGGUAAGGCCGUAAGGCGCGAGGGGAUCGGGCUGCGGUCCAUUAGCUAGUUGGUGGGGUAAUGGCCUACCAAGGCAACGAUGGAUAGCUGGUCUGAGAGGAUGAUCAGCCACACUGGAACUGGAACACGGUCCAGACUCCCACGGGAGGCAGCAGUUGGGAAUAUUGGACAAUGGGAGAAAUCCUGAUCCAGCAAUGCCGCGUGAGUGACGAAGGCCUUCGGGUCGUAAAGCUCUUUUAGCAGGGACGAAGGGAAACUUGACGGUACCUGCAGAAAAAGCACCGGCUAACUCUGUGCCAGCAGCCGCGGUAAUACAGAGGGUGCAAGCGUUGUUCGGAAUUAUUGGGCGUAAAGCGCGUGUAGGCGGUUUCCUAAGUCUGGCGUGAAAUCCCGGGGCUCAACCCCGGAAGUGCACUGGAUACUGGGUGACUAGAGGACGAGAGAGGAAAGUGGAAUUCCUGGUGUAGGGGUGAAAUCCGUAGAUAUCAGGAGGAACAUCAGUGGCGAAGGCGGCUUUCUGGCUCGUAUCUGACGCUGAGACGCGAAAGCGUGGGGAGCAAACAGGAUUAGAUACCCUGGUAGUCCACGCCCUAAACGAUG